AAGUUUUUUAUCUAGUUUUAUUUCCGCAGACAUUGUGUUCUAGACCUUUUGUAAUCCGGAUUUCUCUUUAUCUAUUCAGUAUUCAGUAUUCAGCUUUUCUUCUUGAUUUUGUUUACUAUUGUUCAUUCUGUUAUCAUCCUGCUGUUACACUGUUGUUAUCAUGUUUUCAACUUGUUCAACAUUUAUGCUUUCUGUUAUGAUGUCUGAGUAGUGAAUAGGUUUCUGAGGAUGGGUUAGAGUAGUGUAGAAUUCUCAGUAUGCUAGGUGAUUGAGUAUUGAUUGAUAGAUCCCUUCUGGAUUAGUUGUUCUUAAUGCCUAUUGCUUCCUGAUCAACUGGAAUUUGAGCCCAGACAUUUCCGCGCCCAAAAGGUGUUCGAUGAAAUGUCUGAACCACUAAUUCCAGAGAUUUGUGGCCCUGUACCAAGGUAUUGGUUGCAGGGAGCGUUUUGGCUUUAACUUGUUGAUUCGUAAUGCAUGUUAGGUUAGCUCUCGUCAAUGGUGAUUGAGUCUUGGACUAGGUUAACUUGAGGGUCUCUGUUGCGGUGGCACUUAGAUUUGGUUAAUGAACUUGUUGUCUAGGGAUAAUUUAUUGAGCAUGUCAAUCACCUGUAAACUGAGGAAACGAAACUACUCAAUUACCCCAUCCUCGGGAAUUCUUUAUCUAAUUGAAUUCUGUGUUUACUCCACUAUUGUUUACUGCAUCUUGUUAUCUGUCGCUUAAUUUCUGCAGUUAUUUCUUGUUACUCGACCUCGUACUCCACCACCCAGUUGUCUGGCAACAGACUGUGCAGUCGAGUAUCUGUGUUUUAUUUUCUGUCUGUUACUCGACCUGUCACUCGACCACACCCAGUGCUCUGCAAAGAGCUGUGUUGGUCGAGUGUUUUACUGUUUCUGUUUGAUUUUCUGUUUUCUGCAUGUUCACUUAGGACUGCUAGAACACACCAAAACAUGUUAUUGCUUGGCUUGACUUAGUGACUUUUGAUCACAUCUUGAUUGUUAGCAUCACACCCAUUUGGAUUGACAACCUAAAAUACUACAACGACAUGAUUGGUGUUUUAGGAUAAUUGACUAAAAACCUAUUAUCAAUUUGGCGCCGUUGCCAAUUGGGUGUUUGUUUGUUACAUUUGAGAUUUCAAACUUGCUUAGAUCAA
rnacentral:sRNA from 1 species